rnacentral:tRNA from 1 species
GCACGAGAUGGCUGAGUGGUCUAAAACACAGCACCUGCCCUGAAUGACGAUUAUGGAGGAAUGCGGCCGCAUUUAACUACGUCAUUAACCGUUGGUUCGAAUCCAACUCUCGUGCCU